GGUUCACUGUACAUUGCUCAUCUUGUCAAUGGAAGUGGUCACCAAUUUCUGUUGACAGUAUAAUUGAGAGUGGCUGGUGGCCUGGUAGCCCUGAAAAUUUUCAUUACAUAUUUAGUCAAGAUGUCUUUAAUUUGUGGGAUGCAUUUAGAAAGAGGAUGCCUGGGUCAUCACAAUCUGCUUUUGUAAGAAGUUUGGAAGAUAUUUCCAGCUCUAGAGGAAGGGAAAUUGUUAUCAAUCAUUUGUUGAAUGGAGCUAUUGCCAACAUGAAAUUGACCUUCUUCAUGAGCAGACAUGGAAAAAUUGCCCUCCUUGUAGUAUUGAUCAACAUUCAUGUCAUGUUGAUGGAAAUCAAAAAGUGUACAGAUUCAGCAAAGUACCAAGGGUCCAGUCCAGUGUUAUUAUCGUGAUGUAUUGAUUGCAAACAAUAGUUUUGUGGACUCUCAUUUAAAAAGUCUUGGUUCAAAGUCAAUUCAGGUAAUGUGUUAUGAAGUAGGAUUGAAAGGUAGUAAUCUAUUAUUAGGUUAAAGCAUUUUUUAUAGAAUGAAGAUAAUUCUUGUGGUGACACCCAUUGGAAAGCUCGAAAAUGGUCUCCAAAUCAAAGAAAAACCAAGACGAGACUGGACUUGAAGUUGCUGGAUGCAGGCACUCGAUUGCUCAAGCUACUUUGAACAUGUUCAGAGGAGAAAUUUAUGGCUAUGCUCACUACUUGCAUUUGAAUUUUUACAACCACAUAAAGUUAAAUAUAUGUGGGAAGAUAUUAUAUGCAAAUAUUGGCCUUGGGCUCUACGUGUUACAUCGGAAGAAAAUCAAAAUGCGCUAAGAAAUAUUGCACCAGCACUGUCUAUAAUGCAUGGGAAAUCACACAGUUG